rnacentral:snRNA from 1 species
AUACUUACCUGGCAGGGGAGAUACCAUGAUCACAAAGGUAGUUUUCCCAGGGUGAGGCUUAUCCACUGCACUCAGGAUGUGCUGACCUCUCUGAUUUCCCCAAAUGUGGGAAAUUUGACUGCAUAAUUUGUGGUAGUGGGGGACUGCAUUCACACUCUCCCCUG